CUCUUCUCUCUCUCUCUCUGUCUCUCUCUCUUUCUCUCUCUCCUGCUCUGCCAUGGGAAGAUGUGCCUACUUCCCCUUUGCCUUCCACCGUGACUGUACAUUUCCUGAGGACUCCCUAGCCAUGCUUUCUGUACAGCCUGCUGAACUCUCUGCCCAAAUUUCAGCUGUCACAGAAUGAGUGAUCCUCAUAGUAUAAUGGAAAUGCAUCAUCUCAGUUUCCCCAUGGCCUGAAUGUCCAUACAAAAUGAGAGCCAGUAGAGAAAAACAGAGGACGUGAGGAGUUUUUAAAAAUUGAGGAAAAGUGGAAGGAAAAGUAAGGAUGAAGGUGAAGAUGAAGGAAUAUGUCAGAGAUGCUAGCACUGGCAUCCCCCACCACACAGUACCAUGUACUGCUAAAGAACUCUAGAACAUACAGGGUGUAGACGGCAGUCUUCUUGGGGAAAAAGAGGCUUCAGGAUUGCAAGAUUUCAGCUACUGUCUCUCCUCGGAGCAGGAUUCCAUCUUUUCCAUGGCUGGGGCCCUUGACACAUGUCACUGUGCACUGCUCUUCUCGCUGGGAUUUCCAAAAGACCUUGGCUCAGGUGUCACUUUUGCAGAAAAGCAUUUACUGACUGUUGACUUGGCCAAAUCCCUGUGCUGUGUUUCCUAGUACGCCACACCCUUGGGACUGCAGCCCUGUGAAGACUGAGGUUCUGACGAAAGUCAAGAAAAAUCUGCAUUGCAACUCUUCGAAGAGAAGAAUGUGACAUCUUGUGUCGUUUUCCAGAGGCAGCUGCAUAAAUCACAGGAGACUGAAUACAGGAGAAGAUGUAAGAAUCCAGUCAGCUUCUAUCAAACCAGACAUAAAAGACAUUUGCAGAUAUGUAAAACAAUGCCACUCUUCACAUUGCAUUUUUAAAAAAUAUUAUUUCCCAGAAAAUAUAUCAUCUAUGUUAAUAUGGAAUGGGGUUUGUUAUUCUUAUUUUAAGUAAGGUAUUAUAUAAAUAUUUUUAAUGUCUCAGUUUUAAUUUCUAAUGAAGUCAAUAUCAAUAGAUGUAAUCUAUAUAAACCAAAGUUCUCCGGGGUCUUCAAGAGUGUAAAGGAGUCCUGAGAUCAAAAGGGAUGAAAACCUCUGCCCUACCCUGGCCACCUAAGGGGCUGAAGCCCUCCAGGAGCAGUGCUCCCGGCUCUUGCUGCUGCCCCAGAGCUGAGGGUUUUGGAGCACUGGUGCCCUACAAAACGGAGAGACUGGAAGGAGUUUUCUGGGUCAUGAGGUUGGAACUGCUGGCAGAAGAUCACAGCAUAACUUUCUUCUGGGUUAUAGGAAGAAAUAUAUAAGUAGA
rnacentral:lncRNA from 10 species